ACAACCCCGGAUAUUUCGAUGGUCUCUACUAGGCUUACGAGUAGGCUUACGAGUAAUGUCUCUGUGGACGGACAGACUUACCAAGGGACAGAUGGACAAUUGGAAUGCAGUUGGAGCCAACGGUGAUGUCACAUAGUGCAACUGUGUUGGUGGCUGAAGCAAACUGCAACACUCCUUUCAAAAAACUGUCUUGUUAUGACACAAUCAUGAAUGGUUAGAUUCGUUUGUUGAAGUCUACUUGGGAUGUUUCUAUGAUUGAAGUUUGAGUCAAAGUUUUGACUACAUAGUUUUUUAAUUAUUUUUAGGACGUAGUCAUGAUAACAGUAAAUGUAUACGAUAUUUACUAUUAGAUAACAUUAGUUAAUAUGUAGUUGGUAAGUAGAAGUGUACAUACCUGAUGUAGUAUAAAUAGAAGUCUUAAUAUUAAUACAAAUUGGAUAAUGAAAAUAAGGACAUGAUAUAAUAACUGGAUUGUUGAAUGAUAAGAAUUCAUAUUGGCAAUGCUUCUGUCAACUUUACUGGCUGCCACCCAGCUAUUAUGUUGAGCUAAUCUUUUUGAAUAGUAAUGGUUUUGAUAGUAUAAUUUGUCUAUAGAGUUUGACUCUCUUUAAGCAAUUGACAUUAUAUUUAUCUUUC